GAUGAAGAACGUAGCGAAAUGCGAUACGUAGUGUGAAUUGCAGAAUUCAGUGAAUCAUCGAAUCUUUGAACGCAAUUGCACCUCUCGGUAUUCCGGGAGGUAUGCCUGUUCGAGCGUCAUUUGUACCCUCAAGCUCUGCUUGGUGUUGGGUGUUUGUUCCGCCUCUGUGUGUGAACUCGCCUCAAAACAAUUGGCAGCCGGCGUACUUGUUUCGGAGCGCAGCACAUUUUGCGAUCCAGAUCAACGUACAGCGGCAUCCAAGAAGCCUUAUUUAACGCUCUUGACCUCGGAUCAGGUAGGGAUACCCGCUGAACUUAAGCAUAUCAAUAAGCGGAGGA
rnacentral:misc_RNA from 1 species